rnacentral:rRNA from 1 species
AAAUUGAAGAGUUUGAUCAUGGCUCAGAUUGAACGCUGGCGGCAGGCCUAACACAUGCAAGUCGAACGGUAACAGGAAGCAGCUUGCUGCUUUGCUGACGAGUGGCGGACGGGUGAGUAAUGUCUGGGAAACUGCCUGAUGGAGGGGGAUAACUACUGGAAACGGUAGCUAAUACCGCAUAACGUCGCAAGACCAAAGAGGGGGACCUUCGGGCCUCUUGCCAUCGGAUGUGCCCAGAUGGGAUUAGCUAGUAGGUGGGGUAACGGCUCACCUAGGCGACGAUCCCUAGCUGGUCUGAGAG